CCUUUACGGGAGGCAGCAGUGAGGAAUAUUGGUCAAUGGACGUAAGUCUGAACCAGCCAAGUAGCGUGCAGGAUUGACGGCCCUAUGGGUUGUAAACUGCUUUUGUUGGGGAGUAAAGUUGGGCACGCGUGCCUUUUUGCAGGUACCGCAUGAAUAAGGACCGGCUAAUUCCGUGCCAGCAGCCGCGGUAAUAAGG
rnacentral:rRNA from 1 species